UACUUACUCCCUCCGUCCAAAAAAGCUUGUCCCUUAAAUGGAUGUAUCUAGCACCAAGUUUGUGCUAGAUACAUUCAUUUGAAAGACAAGUUUGGGACAAGCUUUUUCGAAUGAAGAGAGUAUCAG
rfam:Triticum aestivum genome assembly, contig: Triticum_aestivum_CS42_TGACv1_scaffold_435516_5DL